rnacentral:rRNA from 1 species
UACGAAGGGGGCUAGCGUUGCUCGGAAUCACUGGGCGUAAAGGGUGCGUAGGCGGGUCUUUAAGUCAGGGGUGAAAUCCUGGAGCUCAACUCCAGAACUGCCUUUGAUACUGAAGAUCUUGAGUUCGGGAGAGGUGAGUGGAACUGCGAGUGUAGAGGUGAAAUUCGUAGAUAUUCGCAAGAACACCAGUGGCGAAGGCGGCUCACUGGCCCGAUACUGACACUGAGGUGCGAAAGCGUGGGGAGCAAACAGG